UGGAGGCCUCUGGUGCCUGUCGCCUCCGCAGCGUGGUUCUGUCUGCGGCUGCUUUUAUGAGCGGUGAAUUUAUGUAUUCUCUGCUGAUGUUAGCAGAGGUAACUUUCUGUUGUCACUCAGAUCCUGGCUACUAUCCCCUAGGCAACCCACCCCCAUGGGCUGAGGCUACAGGAGACGUGGUGACAUAGUGGUACUGGGAAUGGAGGCUGGGCCCUCACCCAUAACAAGCAAGUGUUCUGCCAUUAGCUACAUCUCCAGUCUUCUUUGAACUUUUAUUUUGAUUUAUUAUUUUCUUGUAUGUAUACAGGUAUUCUGCCUGCAUGCAUGUCUUUGCACCACCUGCAUGACUAAAGCCCUUGGAGGCCAGAAGAGGACAUCAGAUCCCCUGGGAUUGGAGUUAUAGAUGGUUGUGAGCUGCCAUGUGGGUGCAGGGAAUUGAAGCCAGGUCCUCUAGAAGAGUGGCCAGUGUUCUUAAUCACUGAGCCAUCUCGCUAGAACCCUGAACUUUCAUUUUGAAAGUAUCUCACUAACUUUCCCAGACAGGCUUUGAACUCAUUCUGUAACCCAGGCAGGCCUCAAACUUUGAAUUCUUCUGUUUCAGACUCCUGAGUGACCGGGUUCUUAUCGACACCAGGCUUCCCUUAGAUUUGUUGUUGUAUUGAGACAAGGUUUCUCUGUGUAGCCCUGGCAGUCCUGGAACUUUCUAUGUAGAGCUGGCUGGUCUUGAGCACAGAGAUCUGCCUGCCUCUGCCUCCCAAGUGCUGGCAUCAAAGAGGCAUGUGCAAGCUCACCCAUCUCCUUCAUAGAUUGUUUUUUAAAAAUACACCUGGCUGUAAUCCAGCAUGUGGGAGGCAGAAGUGGGAGGAGCAGGAUUCAAAGUCUUUCUCAGCUCCGUAUAGUGAGUAUGAGGCCAGCCUGGACUGCAAGAGACUAUCAUAAACAAGAAACGAACUAAACUAAAAGCAAAACAACCCCACAAAACCCAACGAUUAAUAAAAUGAUUAUAUCAGCAGAGUUAAUGAUAAUAUUACUAGCGUUUUGAGACAUUCUCACUCUGUAGCCCCAGACAGCAUAGAAGUUUGACCUGGCUAGCAAACUGUGGCGGCCCUCCCAAGUGAUGGGGUUACUUCUCAAGGGGAAAUGCUAGAGCCACAGCUGUGGUAGAUAAAUACCAAUGUCUACUUCUGGCGAGCUGCCGUUUCUUUCUUCCUGACUUUUGUUAAGACUCGGGUUUGGUCUCUGAGGGCACAAAUCCCUACUCUUGUCAUAUAUGAGAGG